rnacentral:lncRNA from 1 species
UGUCCAGCCUCAGACUGCUGAGAUACACCAUCUGGCAGCCCAUGUGGAUCUGUUUUUUCACAUGUGGGGGCUUCACUCUUGCAAGACUCUACAGUUGCAUUUCCCCAAGCUUGUUCACCAGAAAUUGAGUUGGACACCAGCUCAGGUUCAAGCCCAGCAAGACGUUUUGAAGACCGACGAGACAAGUUAAGCUGCUGCUUGUUCUUGGAUUUCUUCGAGUUUAUCCGUGUUUUUUUAUUGUUGCUCUUUUCUACCUUAGUCUCCUGCAAUUUCUUCUCUGUCAGAAUAUCAGCUGUAGUUGAAACAGGAUCACUAUCAGGUAAAGAAUCCACCAGAGUUUCACCCAUCAUAGUCUUGCAUGGAUUUAAAUUAGUACCCCCAAAGGUUAAGGACAAAUGUGGUUCUGACUUGUCAUCAUUGGCUUCAGCAGAUUGCCCCCCAAUAAUAGCCAGGUUCCCAGAAGAUUUGAUUUUGUUCAAGGGCUUUCUACUUGAUGACACACAUUUUGCAAGUCCCAGUACCACAGAUGCACGAUUUGGAAGUCCCAGCACUGGGCCAGCCUUGAGCUGCUGAGAAACUUCAUCCACCAAACUACUCGAAGUCAAACCUGCAGCCAUGCCUUUACUUUUACAAGAUUCAGUAAUUAUGUUCUUAGGAGCUCGUACUCGUUCAAGGGACUCACAAUUGGCCAUCAUCUCAGGUUCAAGCCCGGCAAGACGUUUCGAAGACCGACGAGGCAAACUAAGCUCUUGCUUGUUCUUUGAUUGCAUUGAGUUUAUACGAGUUUUUCUGCUGCUUCUCUUUUCCCCAUCGGUCGUCUGCAUGCUCGUCUCCUGCAGGAUAUC